CAGCCGCCGCGGGAAUACGAAGGGGGCUAGCGUUGUUCGGAUUUACUGGGCGUAAAGCGCACGUAGGCGGACUUUUAAGUCAGGGGUGAAAUCCCGGGGCUCAACCCCGGAACUGCCUUUGAUACUGGAAGUCUUGAGUAUGGUAGAGGUGAGUGGAAUUCCGAGUGUAGAGGUGAAAUUCGUAGAUAUUUGGAGGAACACCAGUGGCGAAGGCGGCUCACUGGACCAUUACUGACGCUGAGGUGCGAAAGCGUGGGGAGCAAACAGGAUUAGAUACCCCUGUAGUCCCUGUCUCUUAUAU
rnacentral:rRNA from 1 species